AUUGAACGCUGGCGGCAGGCUUAACACAUGCAAGUCGAGCGAGCGGCGGACGGGUGAGUAAUGUCUGGGAAACUGCCUGAUGGAGGGGGCUAACUACUGGAAACGGUGGCUAAUACCGCAUACCAUCGGAUGUACCCAUAUGGGAUUAGCUAGUAGGUGGGGUAAUGGCUCACCUAGGCGACGAUCCCUAGCUGGUCUGAGAGGAUGAGCAGCAACACUGGAACUGAGACACGGCCCAGACUCCUACGGGAGGCAGCAGGGGGGAAUAUUGCACAAUGGGCGCAAGCCUGAUGCAGCCAUGCCGCGUGUGUGAAGAAGGCCUUAGGGUUGUAAAGUACUUUCAGCGAGGAGGCGUUACUCGCAGAAGAAGCACCGGCUAACUCCGUGCCAGCAGCCGCGGUAAUUC
rnacentral:rRNA from 1 species